UACGUAGGGUGCAAGCGUUGUCCGGAAUUAUUGGGCGUAAAGAGCUUGUAGGCGGUUAGUCGCGUCUGCUGUGAAAACUCGGGGCUUAACUCCGGGCCUGCAGUGGGUACGGGCUGACUAGAGUGCGGUAGGGGAGACUGGAAUUCCUGGUGUAGCGGUGAAAUGCGCAGAUAUCAGGAGGAACACCGAUAGCGAAGGCAGCUCGCUGGGACGGUACUGACGCUGAGGCGCGAAAGCGUGGGGAGCGAACAGG
rnacentral:rRNA from 1 species